CCUACGGGAGGCAGCAGUGAGGAAUAUUGGUCAAUGGCCGGAAGGCUGAACCAGCCAUGCCGCGUGAAGGUCAGUGCCCUAUGGGCGUUAAACUUCUUUUGUGCGGGAGCAAUAAUGGUCACGUGUGGCCAGACGAGAGUACCGUACGAAUAAGCAUCGGCUAACUCCGUGCCAGCAGCCGCGGUAAUUCGGGGGAUGCAAGCGUUAUACGGAUUUUAUGGGUUGAAAGGGUGCGUAGGCUGUGAGGUAAGUCAGCGGUGAAAUGCCACCGCUCAAAGGGGUGAAGUGCCAUUGAUACUGCCUUGCUGGAAUGCAGAUGCCGUAGGAGGAAUGUGUGGUGUAGCGGUGAAAUGCAUAGAUAUCACACAGAACACCGAUUGCGAAGGCAUCUCACGAAUCCGCGAUUGACGCUGAUGCACGAAAGCGUGGGUAUCAAACAGGAUUAGAUACCCCUGUAGUC
rnacentral:rRNA from 1 species